GAUGAACGCUGGCGGCGUGCCUAAUACAUGCAAGUCGAGCGAACGGACGAGAAGCUUGCUUCUCUGAUGUUAGCGGCGGACGGGUGAGUAACACGUGGAUAACCUACCUAUAAGACUGGGAUAACUUCGGGAAACCGUAGCUAAUACCGGAUAAUAUUUUGAACCGCAUGGUUCAAAAGUGAAAGACGGUCUUGCUGUCACUUAUAGAUGGAUCCGCGCUGCAUUAGCUAGUUGGUAAGAUAACGGCUUACCAAGGCAACGAUGCAUAGCCGACCUGAGAGGGUGAUCGGCCACACUGGAACUGAGACACGGUCCAGACUCCUACGGGAGGCAGCAGUAGGGAAUCUUCCGCAAUGGGCGAAAGCCUGACGGAGCAACGCCGCGUGAGUGAUGAAGGUCUUCGGAUCGUAAAACUCUGUUAUUAGGGAAGAACAUAUGUGUAAGUAACUGUGCACAUCUUGACGGUACCUAAUCAGAAAGCCACGGCUAACUACGUG
rnacentral:rRNA from 1 species